rnacentral:tRNA from 2 species
GAGCCGGUAGCUCAGUUGGUAGAGCACUGGACUUUUAAUCCAAUGGUCGUGGGUUCGAGUCCCACCCGGCUCA